AAAACCCACCCCCCGAUUCCCUACGGCCUGCUCCUUCUUUCUCCACGCCUCUAUACGUUCUGUCCUUCUCCAAAAGACCACCGACGCCAUAUGCUUACCUAUUUCAGCCGAAGGAAAUCUCCAGCGAUUUAGCCACACCACCCCCACUCCAUUUCCCUCCCACGGAAGUUGAACCAGACUCCAUCCUCGGCAGCUUCAGAUUGAUUGUGGGUUUGGUGCUGCACGGCUUGUGGGAGUUGUUGGAGUUCUGAGUUGCCGACCAGUGGCACAUUGUCUUCUGUGUUGCCAUUGGCUUGUGGGCUGGACUUGCUAUUGGGUACACUACAGUAUAUUAUACCAGCAAUGAUUACAG